UUGGAGGGCAAGUCUGGUGCCAGCAGCCGCGGUAAUUCCAGCUCCAAUAGCGUAUAUUAAAGUUGUUGCAGUUAAAAAGCUCGUAGUUGAAUUUCGGGGUUAGUAGGCUGGUCAUGCCACCGGUAUGUACUGGUCUUUCUGAUUCCUCCUUCCUGAUGAACUGUAAUGCCAUUAAUUUGGUGUUGCAGGGAAUCUGGACUGUUACUUUGAAAAAAUUAGAGUGUUUAAAGCAGGCUAACGCUUGAAUACAUUAGCAUGGAAUAAUGAAAUAGGACGUUCGAUCCUAUUUUGUUGGUUUCUAGGAUUGACGUAAUGAUUAAUAGGGAUAGUUGGGGGCAUUAGUAUUCAAUUGUCAGAGGUGAAAUUCUUGGAUUUAUUGAAGACUAACUACUGCGAAAGCAUUUGCCAAGGAUGUUUUCAUUAAUCAAGAACGAAAGUUAGGGGAUCGAAGACGAUCGGAUACCGUCGUAGUCUUAACCAUAAACUAUGCCGACUAGGGAUCGGAUGAUGUUAAUUUUUUAAUGACUCAUUCGGCGCCUUACGGGAAAC
rnacentral:rRNA from 1 species